AUUGUGCAGCCGGGGCUCGAUGCGCCCACACUCUCCAGGGUGGUGGCAGGCAGCGCUGACGGCGGUGCGCCCCGGGGUCCCUGCGCGGCCUCGGCGGGGUGGAAGCAGGCUUCCCGCAGCCGGUGAGUCGCGACGUCGCCCGGGCUGACCGUGGGUUCCUCGGCUGGCUCUCCCGCGUCGUCCUGGGCGCUCGGCCCGCCUGGUUCUCCCUCGGGCGGCUCUCGAUGCUGCGUCUGCCGCUUGUGUUUCAUGCGUCGGUUCUGGAACCAGACUUUGACCUGCCUUUCGGUGAGGUCCAGCAAGGCAGCGAUCUCGACGCGACGCGGCCGGCACAGACCCAAUGAUGGUUGGGCUUCGGGUCACGUGACAGCCUCAUUGUAGCUCCGGAAGAGAACGUGAAGUUUAGGUUGCCUGGAAGAAGCAGUAAUAAGGAGACUGAAAGGGAGAACAAAAAAAAUCAAGAUUUUGGGGAAAUUACCCACAGAGAUGCAAGGGAAAAAGAAAAAGGAAAAGGAAAAACUGUGCAUCUGCUGGAAUCUCUUUUCUACUGAGAUGGGGGAAAUUAUCCAGGAUGAGAAAGACUCACAAAACAAUUUGAACACUAUUCUUCUCUGGAUUCAAAGGGGAGGCUGUUUACUGAGGUUCCCAACAGCAAAAAAUAAAAUAAAAUAAAAUUAUGGUCACU
rnacentral:lncRNA from 1 species